GGCUGUGGCUCAGUAGUAGAGUGCUUGCCUAGCAUGUGUGAGGCACUGGGUUCGAUUCUCAGCACCA
rnacentral:tRNA from 1 species